UACGAAGGGGGCUAGCGUUGUUCGGAAUUACUGGGCGUAAAGCGCGCGCAGGCGGUCUUUCAAGUCAGUGGUGAAAGCCCGGAGCUCAACUCCGGAACUGCCAUUGAAACUGUUAGACUUGAGGACGAGAGAGGUGAGUGGAAUUCCCAGUGUAGAGGUGAAAUUCGUAGAUAUUGGGAAGAACACCGGUGGCGAAGGCGGCUCACUGGCUCGUAUCUGACGCUCAGGCGCGACAGCGUGGGGAUCAAACAGG
rnacentral:rRNA from 1 species